UACGUAGGUGGCAAGCGUUGUCCGGAUUUACUGGGCGUAAAGAGCGCGCAGGCGGUCGUAUGAGUCGCGUGUGAAAGCCCCCGGCUCAACUGGGGAGGGUCACGCGAUACUGUUCGACUCGAAGGCAGGAGAGGGAAGCGGAAUUCCCGGUGUAGUGGUGAAAUGCGUAGAUAUCGGGAGGAACACCAGUGGCGAAGGCGGCUUCCUGGCCUGUUCUUGACGCUGAGGCGCGAAAGCUAGGGUAGCAAACGGG
rnacentral:rRNA from 1 species